UAGGGAAUCUUCGGCAAUGGACGGAAGUCUGACCGAGCAACGCCGCGUGAGUGAAGAAGGUUUUCGGAUCGUAAAGCUCUGUUGUAAGAGAAGAACGAGUGUGGGAGUGGAAAGUUCACACUGUGACGGUAUCUUACCAGAAAGGGACGGCUAACUACGUGCCAGCAGCCGCGGUAAUACGUAGGUCCCGAGCGUUGUCCGGAUUUAUUGGGCGUAAAGCGAGCGCAGGCGGUUAGAUAAGUCUGAAGUUAAAGGCUGUGGCUUAACCAUAGUAGGCUUUGGAAACUGUUUAACUUGAGUGCAAGAGGGGAGAGUGGAAUUCCAUGUGUAGCGGUGAAAUGCGUAGAUAUAUGGAGGAACACCGGUGGCGAAAGCGGCUCUCUGGCUUGUAACUGACGCUGAGGCUCGAAAGCGUGGGGAGCAAACAGGAUUAGAUACCCUGGUAGUCCACGCUGUAAACGAUGAGUGCUAGGUGUUAGACCCUUUCCGGGGUUUAGUGCCGUAGCUAACGCAUUAAGCACUCCGCCUGGGGAGUACGACCGCAAGGUU
rnacentral:rRNA from 1 species